CGUAUGAAACAGCAUUACGAGAUCUCUAUGCUUUCAUUCUCACACAUCUGGGGAACAAUUAACCCACAGGUAAAUUAAUGAUUCUAAUUUUGUGUACAAAUAUUACUUAUAUCUGUAGUAAUAUUUUAGGUGGAGAUCAAUGGCGGGUGCCACCUCGGCGCUGUUUCUUCUUGAUAUGAAAGGUAGAUGCCUUAUAAGUCGUGACUAUAGAGGCGAUGUUUCUGCUCAACAAGUCGAGAAAUUCUUUUCUAAGCUCCUCGAGAAAGAGGGUGACGUAGAAUCUCAUGGACCAGUAUGCUAUGAAAAUGGCGUGAAUUACAUGUUUAUACAACACAACAACAUUUACCUGAUGGCAGCAUCGAGGCAGAAUUCUAAUGCUGCUAGCCUCCUUUUCUUUCUACAUCGUGUAGUUGAUGUCUUUAAGCACUAUUUUGAAGAACUGGAAGAGGAGUCUCUACGAGAUAACUUUGUCGUUGUGUAUGAAUUGCUUGAUGAAAUGAUGGACUUUGGUUACCCUCAAUAUACGGAAGCUAAGAUUCUUAGUGAGUUUAUCAAGACGGAUGCAUACAGAAUGGAAGUCACCCAGCACCCUCCAAUGGCCGUGACAAAUGCAGUUUCGUGGCGCAGUGAGGGGGUAUUUUAUAAGAAUAAUGAAGUAUAUUUGGAUGUGGUCGAACAUGUUAAUCUCCUUGUCAACAGCAACGGCCAGUCAAUACGUUCUGAAGUUAACGGGGCGUUAAAAAUGAGAGCUUAUUUGAGUGGCAUGCCUGAGUGCAAGCUUGGGCUUAAUGACAGAUUAAUAUUGGAGGCUCAAGGUCGGCCUACCAAAGGCAAAUCCAUUGAUUUGGAUGAUAUCAAAUUUCAUCAGUGUGUGCGUUUGGCUCGUUUUGAAAAUGAUCGCACAAUAUCUUUUAUACCUCCUGAUGGCUCAUUUGAUCUGAUGACAUAUAGACUCAGUACUCAGGUGAAGCCACUGAUUUGGGUAGAAGCUCAAGUUGAAAGGCAUUCAAGAAGCCGGGUUGAGAUGUCUGUCAAAGCCAGAAGCCAGUUUAAGGAGCGUAGCACUGCUAUGAAUGUGGAAAUUGAGUUGCCUGUGCCAUCUGAUGCGAUGAAUCCCAAUAUACGAACUUCAAUGGGAUAUGCUACAUAUGCUCCUGAGAGAGAUGCUGUGGUAUGGAAAAUCAAGUCAUUUCCUGGUAAUAAGGAGUAUAUGCUGAGGGCAGAGUUUAGACUUCCAAGUGUAAUAUCUGAAGAUACACCUCCUGAUAGAAAAGCUCCAAUCCGUGUUAAGUUUGAGAUACCAUAUUUUACUGUCUCAGGAAUUCAGGUCUUAGACAAAGCCAUAUCCAUGUUAAGGCUGCCUCUAAGCUGCUCAAGAGAUUCAAAAAACAAUAUCUUUAUAUUCAAUGAGGGCAUCAUGUAGAUAAAGAUAUUAAACUGUUAACAAGAUAUUCGACUUGGCAAAUGAUGGAAAACAAUGUUUCAAGAAACCAAACCCUUUGUAUCAUGAUCGGUUUUGAAGACCAUUCAGCAUAUGACUAGAUUAGAAUUUUUGUUGGUUCGUUAUCUCAAAAUUAUUGAAAAAAGCGGAUAUCAAGCUCUUCCAUGGGUGAGGUACAAAACAAUGGCUGGUGAGUACGAACUAAG